CCCCUCUCAGGGCUGCACCUGGAGAGUUUCCAGUACUCUACCAGUUUCGGCUAUGGGAGGGUCAAGCAGAGGCAUACCCAUUCCAUUUCUAGCUUGGCCAGUGGCUAGUGAGUGGGAGACAAUCUGCUACAAGU